AAUGUACGCUGGCGGCACGCCUUAUACAUGCAAGUCGAACGAAGUAGCAAUACUUAGUGGCAGACGGGUGAGUAACAUGUGGGUAUCUUCCCUUUGGUGAGGAAUAACACGAGGAAACUUGUGCUAAUACCUCAUAAGUCUUUACAGAGAAAGCUUUAUGCGCCAAUGGAUGAGCCCGCACUUGAUUAGUUUGUUGGUGGGGUAACGGCCUACCAAGACUUUGAUCAAUAGCUGAUUUGAGAGGAUGAUCAGCCACAUUGGGACUGAGACACGGCCCAAACUCCUACGGGAGGCAGCAGUAAGGAAUCUUGCACAAUGGAGGAAACUCUGAUGCAGCGAUGCCGCGUGAGUGAAGAAGGCCUUUGGGUUGUAAAGCUCUUUCGUCGGGGAAGAAAUGACU
rnacentral:rRNA from 1 species